rnacentral:rRNA from 1 species
GACAGAGGGGGCAAGCGUUGCUCGGAAUUACUGGGCGUAAAGGGCGCGUAGGCGGGAUGGCAAGUCGGUCGUGAAAUCCCUCGGCUCAACCGAGGAACGUCGAUCGAUACUGCUGUUCUUGAGGAUUGCAGAGGAGACUGGAAUUCCCGGUGUAGCGGUGAAAUGUGUAGAGAUCGGGAGGAACACCGGUGGCGAAGGCGGGUCUCUGGGCAAUUCCUGACGCUGAGGCGCGUAAGCGUGGGGAGCAAACGGG